UACGGGGGGGGCAAGCGUUGUUCGGAAUUACUGGGCGUAAAGGGCGCGUAGGCGGCCACCGCAAGUCGGUUGUGAAAUCUCUGGGCUUAACCCAGAAAGGUCAACCGAUACUGCGGGGCUAGAGUGCAGAAGGGGCAACUGGAAUUCUCGGUGUAGCGGUGAAAUGCGUAGAUAUCGAGAGGAACACCUGCGGCGAAGGCGGGUUGCUGGGCUGACACUGACGCUGAAGCGCGAAAGCUAGGGGAGCGAACGGG
rnacentral:rRNA from 1 species